UGGUGGGUAGUUUGACUGGGGCGGUCUCCUCCUAAAGAGUAACGGAGGAGCACGAAGGUUGGCUAAUCCUGGUCGGACAUCAGGAGGUUAGUGCAAUGGCAUAAGCCAGCUUGACUGCGAGCGUGACGGCGCGAGCAGGUGCGAAAGCAGGUCAUAGUGAUCCGGUGGUUCUGAAUGGAAGGGCCAUCGCUCAACGGAUAAAAGGUACUCCGGGGAUAACAGGCUGAUACCGCCCAAGAGUUCAUAUCGACGGCGGUGUUUGGCACCUCGAUGUCGGCUCAUCACAUCCUGGGGCUGAAGUAGGUCCCAAGGGUAUGGCUGUUCGCCAUUUAAAGUGGUACGCGAGCUGGGUUUAGAACGUCGUGAGACAGUUCGGUCCCUAUCUGCCGUGGGCGCUGGAGAACUGAGGGGGGCUGCUCCUAGUACGAGAGGACCGGAGUGGACGCAUCACUGGUGUUCGGGUUGUCAUGCCAAUGGCACUGCCCGGUAGCUAAAUGCGGAAAAGAUAAGUGCUGAAAGCAUCUAAGCACGAAACUUGCCCCGAGAUGAGUUCUCCCUGAGACCUAGAGUCUCCUGAAGGAACGUUGAAGACGACGACGUUGAUAGGCCGGGUGUGUAAGCGCAGCGAUGCGUUGAGCUAACCGGUACUAAUGAACCGUGAGGCUUAACCUUAC
rnacentral:rRNA from 1 species